rnacentral:rRNA from 1 species
CCUACGGGUGGCAGCAGUGGGGAAUAUUGGACAAUGGGGGCAACCCUGAUCCAGCCAUGCCGCGUGUGUGAAGAAGGCCCUCGGGUUGUAAAGCACUUUCAGUGAGGAAGAACGCCUGGUGGUUAAUACCCAUCAGGAAAGACAUCACUCACAGAAGAAGCACGGGCUAACGCCGUGCCAGCAGCCGCGGUAAUACGGAGGGUGCGAGCGUUAAUCGGAAUUACUGGGCGUAAAGCGCGCGUAGGUGGCUUGAUAAGCCGGUUGUGAAAGCCCCGGGCUCAACCUGGGAACGGCAUCCGGGACGGGCAAGCUAGAGUGCAGGAGAGGAAGGUAGAAUUCCCGGUGUAGCGGUGAAAUGCGUAGAGAUCGGGAGGAAUACCAGUGGCGAAGGCGGCCUUCUGGACUGACACUGACGCUGAGGUGCGAAAGCGUGGGUAGCAAACAGGAUUAGAUACCCUGGUAGUC